UCCAUGUCCUCAAAUGAGCCCCAGCAGCCUUAUAACCUCCAUUCACUUGUUCAUAAAAUGAUUCUCCACAUGACAGAGCUGAACAGCAACCAAUGGCCAAGCCCUGCAGGAAUAUAAACAAAUAACAUGUAGUCAUAUGUAUUUUGUGUGUGAGAUAAGCAGAGGGUUUAUCUUCUGGGCAUCUGUUUCAAAGUGUGAGAUGUUUGACUUCCUCCAAAAUCUUUUUCAGCAGACUGGCUUACAUGAGGCCCAGUAAGCAGGUGACUGCUUCCUGCUUCUGCCACACAACCCAAGCCAAGCCCUGUUCUGGUGGUAUCCUGAAGUGGCCCAAUGGCAGAGUCAAAUCUGAGGCACUAGGCCAGGAAAUGAAUGAUGAAGGUGAAUGCUACCAAUGAAGCACCUAUCAACCUGUAUGGUAUGAAGGAAAAGCAUUCUGAGGUGAUAAAAAAGGUGUUCCAUGGUGCGACACAGAGAUUGGAAAGCUGCAGUACAUACAUAAGAUGAAGCAUUCAAACAGAACUGAGAAACUCUGAAUUUGAGGACAUCAGCUGGAGCCCCUCUCUUUUGCCCAGUGUGGCUCUGGGAUUUUACCUCUGUCGUGUCAUGCACAGUGAGAUAAGGACAGGAAGAGUCCCCUCAUCUGGCUUUCAGGACUGGACAAAGACAUCCCACAUUACAGCUGAAGGAGAGUGAUACCUCUACUGUAGGAGUACUCUCAAGAACAAGAAUUUCUGCUCAUAUUGGGACACUCCUGUAUUCUAAAAAUUACCACAGAUGAAUUUAGGUAAGAAGGGGAGAGAGAAAACUCACAUUCAUUCAGGUGAUCUUCUCAGGUACACAAGAAGGUGGUACACAAAGUGUCAGUUUUGUCCCUAUAGAUUACAUUUUAGGUAUUCAACUAAUUACCACAACUCAGAAACCAUAUGAUAUUUAUAUUUUUGUGACUGGAUAAUUUCACUAGACAUAAUGAUUUCCAGUUGCAUGGUAUUUUGAUUGGUUUGCAUGGAAUCUAUAAAUUGCAUUCAGUAGUAUGGAUAUAUUGAUGAUAUUGAUUCUUCCAAUCCAUUAACAUGAAAUAUGUUUCCAUUUUUAUGCAUUCUUCUAUUUCUUUCUUUAAUGUUUUGUAAUUUUCAUCAUAGACAUCUUUAAUGUCCUUUUUUAUUCCAAGGUAUUUAAAUUUUUGUAGUUACUGUGAAUGGAAUUGAUCUUAGAAGUUCUUUCUCAGCCGUGGGGCUGUUUGUGUAUACAAAGGCUACUGAUUUUGUGUGUUGAUUGUAUAUUCUGCAAUUUUACCAAACUCUUUUGUGAACUCCAGUCAUCUCUUUGUGGAGUAUUUUGGGUUCCUUAUAGGGAUAGUUUGGAUUCUUCCUCCCCUAUUUCUAUCCGUUUGAUUUCUUUUUCUUGCCUGAUGGCUCUGGCUAACACUUUUAGGACUAUAUUAAAUAGCAAGGGUGCGAGGUGGCAACCUUGUCUGGUUACAGUUCUUAAUAGGUAUGCAUGCAAUUUUUCCCCAUUCAGUAGGUUAUUGGAAGUGGGUUUGUUAUAAAUUGCUUUGAUUAUGUUGAGUGUUCCUUCUAUAUCCAAUUGCUCAAGGUUUUCAUCAUAAAGGGGUGCUGAGUUUUGUCAAAGGCUUUCUCUGCAUCUAUGGAGAUAAUGAUGUGGUUUUGGAUUUCACUUUGUUAAUGUGGCAUAUCACAUUUAUUGAUUUUUGGAUGUGGAACCAUCCCUGCAUACAAGAAAUAAUCCCCUUUGGUCUAGGAGAAUGAUCUUUCUGAUGUGUUGUUGGAUUCGGGUGGCUAGUAUUUUGCCUACGUUUAUUGUGUCUAUGUACAUCAGGUUAUUGAUCUACAGUUAUUUUUCAAAUUGGUGCACAAAAUCUAAUUCAGUUUAUUAGCCCAUGAAUUACUAGUGAUAGUAAUUAGCAUAACUGCAGAAAAACAUUUAAUAAAAUGAACAGAGAUCUGUGAUUUGUAAACAAAGAACUAAAACAACCCAAUAAAUGCAAAAAAGAAUGCUUUUGUGCCCUAAAGGGUAUAUUAAGAUUGCUUAAGAAAUGUGGAAAUUGUGAGAAGGUUGGAAACAAAGUUGAAGCAAGAAUGCUGUACACUACAACUUGUGCUAGAGGCCCUCAGGGGGCUCUGCUCUGUGCAUAUUAUUUUUUAAAAAUUAUUCUUUAAUUCAUUUGAAAAACAGAGUUACAGGGAGGCAGAGAAACAGAGAGAGGAGUCUCCAUAUGCUGGUUUAUUCCCCCAGAUGGCCGCAAUGGCUGGAACUCUGCAAAUUUGAAGCCAGGAGCAUCUUCUGGGUCUCUCAGGCAGAUGCAAGGACACAAGUGCUUGGGCCAUCUUUCACUGCUUCCCAGACCAUAGCAGAGAGCUGGAAUGGAAGCAGAACAGUUAAUACUGGAACCAGCACCUAUAUUUGAUACCGAUGCCAUAGAGAGUGGGUUAAUCUACUGUGCCACUGCUCUGACCCCUGAUCCUCUUCUGUUCCACCUCUCUGCUGAUGGCCUGGAAAACCAGUGGAGGACAGGCCAAGAGGUUGAGCCCCUUUACCCACUUGGGAGAUUGGGAAGAAACCCCUGACUCCUGGCUAUAUAUUGGCUCAUCUCUGGCUGUUGUGGCCAUGUAGGGUGUGAACCAGCAGAUGGAAGUGUUCCCACUGUCUCCAUGUCAUUCUCCCUCUAUCUGUAACAUCUUGAUCGAAACAAAUUAAAUCAAUCUCUUGAUCAAUAAUCUUUCAUUACAAAUAGUGUGAGCCUUGGGCAGUUUUUAGGCUAUGAGAGUAGGGAGCGAAUCACACCAUUAAAGUAAUGGCUGAGGGACACUGCUAUCUAGUGUUGAAAGAGAAGAUGCAGCAAGAAUCUGCCAUGUACAAAGGCAGAGUAGCCAUCACGAUGCAUGGAAUCCUCUAGAUCAUCACUUCCUGAACUCAAGAAACCAUGGACAGUGAAGUUAUGGUGUUACAAAUGACACAGACUAAAGUAUUGUUUGAAGCAUCAUGAAUAGGUUCAAAGAAU